GAUGAACGCUGGCGGCGUGCCUAAUACAUGCAAGUCGAGCGAACGGACGAGAAGCUUGCUUUUCUGAUGUUAGCGGCGGACGGGUGAGUAACACGUGGAUAACCUACCUAUAAGACUGGGAUGACUUCGGGAAACCGGAGCUAAUAUCGGAUAAUAUUUUGAACCGCAUGGUUCAAAAGUGAAAGACGGUCUUGCUGUCACUUAUAGAUGGAUCCGCGCUGCAUUAGCUAGUUGGUAAGGUAACGGCUUACCGAGGCAACGAUGCAUAGCCGACCUGAGAGGGUGAUCGGCCACACUGGAACUGAGACACGGUCCAGACUCCUACGGGAGGCAGCAGUAGGGAAUCUUCCGCAAUGGGCGAAAGCCUGACGGAGCAACGCCGCGUGAGUGAUGAAGGUCUUCGGAUCGUAAAACUCUGUUAUUAGGGAAGAACAUAUGUGUAAGUAACUGUGCACAUCUUGACGGUACCUAAUCAGAAAGCCACGGCUAACUACGUG
rnacentral:rRNA from 1 species